ensembl:lncRNA
ACGUUGCUACAUUUCCGGAAUCGUUUUUUAUUCUGCCUUUUUCAGAUGUAUGCACAUUCUUUAUCUGGGUCAUUAGAAUGUAGUUAAGUCAUAUUUCUUAGUUCUUUUGAGAAUUUCCACAGGAUAGACUUAGCCCUCGUCCUCUGAGGUCAUUUGCAUUUCCAAAAAUAGGCAGUAAAUCAUUUAUGAAAUGUCAGAUGCUGUCAAGGUUCUGGGGCUACAGUGGCGUGUUGAGCAAGGCCCCUCGCCCGUUGGAUGUUUGCUGCAAGGCCUCACAGGAGUCGGCGUGAGCUGUGUUCACAGCCAGGAUUUAUGACGCCCGUGUAGGCAGGACACUGCCGAGUGGCCAGGGGAAGGCAGCAGGCGGAGCGGGCAGGCCUCAGGGGCUGGCCUCCUCGAGCUCCUGCUUGGCUUACUCCCAAGAGGGGUCACACAGCCUGCACCCCGCAGUGAAGACAAGGCCCCGUGCACGCAGCUUCUGCUCGGGGAGCCCAUCUGAGACCUCACCCAAGGUCUUACUGGGGGCCGGUCACCUGGGCACGCCUUGGCCAGUGUGUCCUGAAAUUCCAGAGCCCGAGAGGCAAAGCAGGCGUUCAGCAUAAACCACAGUGUUUGUGCGGUUUGGGUUCCGUGGCUGCUCUGAGCAUCUCAGCGUAAGGACCUGUUUCCAGACACCAGCCAAGGGACAACCUUGACGUAGCAAGGCCAGGACGGGGGUCUCGGGCCUGCUGUGAACUCUUUCCUGCACAAAGGCUAAGCUGCAUGGGUUGUUGCCUUCCUGAAGCUGUGUCAUCACAGAGGGAAACACUGUCUGAUCAUCAUGCCUGCGCUGCAAAUAUCAGCACGUCUCUGUGAAAGUUCCAGGAAAGGGACCGGGUGCCGGAAAAACUGCUGCAGAGAGGUCUGACCUGGCCUGGAAGGUCAAGGAGCCGCCCUAGGGCUGUCCAAUGGCCACCGUAGUCGCCUUGGGAAGAUCAGCACUUAGGUAAUUAGCAGGGGCUUGCAGAACAUUCCAGGUGAGGAAACAGCAGGUCUAAUGGCCAUGGAGCCAGAAGUGUGGCUGUAACCGAGAUGGAAGGGUUGGGCUGUGGCUGGAAAGGCCUUGCCCAUCACGGGGAGGACGUGGGGCUUCCUCCCAAGAGCAGUGAGAAAGCACAGCGAGUCUGGACUGAGGAGCUCCCGCUGUGGCUCAGAGGGAACAAACCUGACUAGUAUCCACGAGGACAUGGCUUGGAUCUGGUGUUGCUGUGGCUGUGGUGUGGCUCCGAUUUGACCCUCAGCCUGGGAACUUCCAUAUGCCGCAGGUUCAGCCCUAACGAGCAAAGCAGAAAAGCAAAAACACCCUCUGAACUGAAGCAGGGACUUGUGUGGGGGGCAAUGGACAGGACUUGCAUUCGAACCACGAAGCAGGGUAAUUUGGUUACUAUCUGCAGAGAAGGCUGAAAAGCAGCAACUGUGAGAUUAUCGCCUCUGCGCUCUUUAGUCAGAGAGACUAAAGUUAUGGUUGUUGUUUUUGCUGUUUUUACUCACCUCAGUUUUGUAGACAGACGCGGUCAUUCUCAGAUCUGGUUGUGGGAAAUAUCACAGAGCAUUUGCAUCGAAUUUCUGGGGCUCUUAGUAAAUCUUAAAGCAAAAUGAAUUUCACCAUCUGUGUACAUGUCCAAUGCACACAAUUUAAAGCAAAACAUAUAUUUUUGACUGGGUGAAGGGAGCCAAGGAAUCAAUAGUAAGGAUCCGAAAUCCUUAAAGGUUUGAGGACAGAGGAGCAACUAUAUGGUUACUUAGAGAAUCUGCUAAACACAUACCCUUGAAUACUAAGCACGCAGCAGUAAGAAUCUAUGUUCUUCCUCCAAGACACUUAAUUUCAAACAUUUAAAAAAAUUAUAAUCAUGAAAGAAAAAAAUCAACGGAGUUUUUUUUAAGAUUAUUAUGUUUGCAUUAAUAGUAAUAUGUUUGUCAUUGAACAUUUCUAACAUAAAGAGACAAACACGAAAAAAAAGAUAAAAGAGAGAGAUAAAAUUACUUAAUACUUUGAAUACCAAUUUUUAAAAAUCAUUCCCCUCAGCUCUCCAAAAUGGUUUUUCCCAGUCGUUUCCCAUGCAUAGGGCUUCCGCAGCAAACACUCUUAGGCAGCUCUGGGUGCACCCUCCAGGUGACUUCCUAGGCCUGUGUCUCUAACAGUGGGAGUUGCUGGAGCAAAGGCAGUGCGGACGUUUUGGCAUUUGUUCCAAGCUGGCCUCCCUG